UAUGAGGGGUGAUAACGAGUCUGCUUGCAGACGAAGUGAGUGAUACCCUGCUUCCAGGAAAAGCCACUAAGCUUCAGCUACACACGACCGUACCGCAAACCGACACUGGUGCGCGAGAUGAGUAUUCUAAGGCGCUUGAGAGAACUCAGGAGAAGGAACUCGGCAAAUUGACACCGUAACUUCGGAAGAAGGUGUGCCUUUAGUAGGUGAAGUCCCUGCGGAUGGAGCCCAAUGAGGUUGCAAAAAAUCGGUGGCUGCGACUGUUUAAUAAAAACACAGCACUCUGCAAACACGAAAGUGGACGUAUAGGGUGUGACGCCUGCCCGGUGCUGGAAGAUUAAAUGAUGGGGUGCAAGCUCUUGAUUGAAGUCCCAGUAAACGGCGGCCGUAACAAUAACGGUCCUAAGGUAGCGAAAUUCCUUGUCGGGUAAGUUCCGACCUGCACGAAUGGCGUAACGAUGGCCACACUGUCUCCUCCUGAGACUCAGCGAAGUUGAAAUGUUUGUGAUGAUGCAAUCUCCCCGCGGAAAGACGGAAAGACCCCAUGAACCUUUACUGUAGCUUUGUAUUGGACUUUGAACAGAUCUGUGUAGGAUAGGUGGGAGGCUUUGAAGCAGGGUCGCUAGAUCUUGUGGAGCCAACGUUGAAAUACCACCCUGGUGUGUUUGAGGUUCUAACCUAGGUCCAUUAUCUGGAUCGGGGACAGUGCAUGGUAGGCAGUUUGACUGGGGCGGUCUCCUACCAAAGCGUAACGGAGGAGUUCGAAGGUACGCUAGGUACGGUCGGACAUCGUGCUAAUAGUGCAAUGGCAUAAGCGUGCUUAACUGCGAGACUGACAAGUCGAGCAGAUGCGAAAGCAGGACAUAGUGAUCCGGUGGUUCUGUAUGGAAGGGCCAUCGCUCAACGGAUAAAAGGUACUCUGGGGAUAACAGGCUGAUACCGCCCAAGAGUUCAUAUCGACGGCGGUGUUUGGCACCUCGAUGUCGGCUCAUCUCAUCCUGGGGCUGUAGCCGGUCCCAAGGGUAUGGCUGUUCGCCAUUUAAAGAGGUACGUGAGCUGGGUUUAAAACGUCGUGAGACAGUUUGGUCCCUAUCUUCCGUGGGCGCUGCAGAUUUGAGGAAGCCUGCUCCUAGUACGAGAGGACCGGAGUGGACACACCUCCGGUGUAUCGGUUGUCACGCCAGUGGCAUUGCCGAGUAGCUAUGUGUGGAAGAGAUAACCGCUGAAAGCAUCUAAGCGGGAAACUCGUUUCAAGAUGAGAUCUGCCGGGGCCUUGAGCCCCCUAAAGAGUCGUUCAAGACCAGGACGUUGAUAGGUCAGGUGUGGAAGCGCAGUAAUGCGUUAAGCUAACUGAUACUAAUUGCUCGUGCGGCUUGACCA
rnacentral:rRNA from 1 species